AGAAUCAACGCUGGCGGCGUGCCUCAGACAUGCAAGUCGAACGCGAAAGUCCCCUUCGGGGGCGAGUAGAGUGGCGCACGGGUGAGUAACACGUAGGUAAUCUACCUUUGGAUGGGGAAUAACAACCGGAAACGGUUGCUAAUACCGCAUAAUGCAGCGGCACCUAAUGGUGACAGUUGUUAAAGCGGGGGAUCGAAAGACCUCGCGUCUGAAGAGGAGCCUGCGGCGGAUUAGCUAGUUGGUAAGGUAACGGCUUACCAAGGCGACGAUCCGUA
rnacentral:rRNA from 1 species